GAUGAACGCUGGCGGCGUGCUUAACACAUGCAAGUCGAACGAAGCACUUUAUUUGAUUUCCUUCGGGACUGAUUAUUUUGUGACUGAGUGGCGGACGGGUGAGUAACGCGUGGGUAACCUGCCUUGUACAGGGGGAUAACAGUUGGAAACGGCUGCUAAUACCGCAUAAGCGCACAGCAUCGCAUGAUGCAGUGUGAAAAGCUCCGGUGGUAUAAGAUGGACCCGCGUUGGAUUAGCUAGUUGGUGAGGUAACGGCCCACCAAGGCGACGAUCCAUAGCCGACCUGAGAGGGUGACCGGCCACAUUGGGACUGAGACACGGCCCAAACUCCUACGGGAGGCAGCAGUGGGGAAUAUUGCACAAUGGGCGAAAGCCUGAUGCAGCGACGCCGCGUGAGCGAAGAAGUAUUUCGGUAUGUAAAGCUCUAUCAGCAGGGAAGAUAAUGACGGUACCUGACUAAGAAGCACCGGCUAAAUACGUG
rnacentral:rRNA from 1 species